rnacentral:rRNA from 1 species
AGUGCCCUACGGGGGGCAGCAGUGGGGAAUAUUGCACAAUGGGGGAAACCCUGAUGCAGCGACGCCGCGUGAGCGAUGAAGUAUUUCGGUAUGUAAAGCUCUAUCAGCAGGGAAGAAAAUGACGGUACCUGACUAAGAAGCCCCGGCUAACUACGUGCCAGCAGCCGCGGUAAUACGUAGGGGGCAGGCGUUAUCCGGAUUUACUGGGUGUAAAGGGAGCGUAGACGGUGCGCCAAGUCUGGAGUGAAAUGCCGCAGCUUAA